GGUCUAACCACCGGGAUGUUCAUGACCCUUUGUUGUCCGACUCUGUUGCCUCCGGGGCGACCCUGCCUUCGGGCGGGGGCUCCGGGUGGACACUUCAAACUCUUGCGUAACUUUGCAGUCUGAGUAAACUUAAUUAAUAAAUUAAAACUUUUAACAACGGAUCUCUUGGUUCUGGCAUCGAUGAAGAACGCAGCGAAAUGCGAUAAGUAAUGUGAAUUGCAGAAUUCAGUGAAUCAUCGAAUCUUUGAACGCACAUUGCGCCCCCUGGUAUUCCGGGGGGCAUGCCUGUUCGAGCGUCAUUUCACCACUCAAGCCUCGCUUGGUAUUGGGCAACGCGGUCCGCCGCGUGCCUCAAAUCGACCGGCUGGGUCUUCUGUCCCCUAAGCGUUGUGGAAACUAUUCGCUAAAGGGUGCUCGGGAGGCUACGCCGUAAAACAAACCCAUUUCUAAGGUUGACCUCGGAUCAGGUAGGGAUACCCGCUGAACUUAAGCAUAUCAAUAAGCCGGAGGAA
rnacentral:rRNA from 1 species